GCAGCGUUGGUCUAAUGGUUAGGGUAUCUGCCUUCCAAGCAGAUAGUCCGGGUUCAAGUCCCGGACGGUGCA
rnacentral:tRNA from 1 species